UUGUCUGAAACAACCCUUUUUCUUUAUUUCAUAUCUAACAUAGUAAAAAGGUGUUGGAUAAAAGAGUGAUUGACAGCCGGUCUAUAGGUCUGCCCCUUCCCCAUAGUUCACGGGAGAAUAUCCUAGCAUAUACUUAAAAAUCAAUCCCCCCGUGAAAUCUGCUGCGGUCCCACCGUCACCUGCGACGUUUCUCGACCGGCCCCCAUGCCAAAUCAAAGAUCAACAGCAGAUCUUUCUUCAUACGCAGAUUUCUCUCUUCGGCUGACCUAAUCCGAUCCAUCUUCGCGAGAUUCUUGCACGUCGCAUGCAGCAACAUCAGACCAAGAAAAGCAAGAACAGAACAAGAAAAAGAAAAGAAAACAUGGGAUCCCUCGAAUUGCACCGAAGUUUUCAAACAGAAACAGCCCACCAGAUCAGACCGGAACUCCAAUCCCUAGCGAUACACAACCAGAUCCCACUACUACCGACGCUUACCGACGCUUAUUUUAUUCUCAAAAUACUGAAACUGUAACAUGACCGAGGAUUAUUAGUAAUAAUGCAGAAGUACGGCCAAACGACGACCUCAUGGCUUGCCCUUUACGGCCUUGAACGACGAGAGACGCCUGGAGUGCUCCCACGGCUUGUCCCAGACGAGGGCCUCGAAGCUCUUCUUGUUGGUCCCGUCCUUGACCUCAACGACGAGCCUGUAGUUCGUCCCCGCCACGACCUGCGUCUCGCCCUUCACCACCUUCUCCAGCACCAGCCCCGUCUUGGCCUGGUCGUUGCGCGCCUUGACGGCGAACUGAGCGAUCUCCCUCACGUACGGGUCGCUCAGGUUCUUUAUCGGGUGCCAACCCCCGAGCAGCGGCUCCGUGCGGACGGCCCCGGCGGCCGAGACUUGGAGGAGGAGGACGGCAGCGACGGCGAGGAUGAGAAGUCUCAUUUUCAGAGGUUUUUCGGGUUUGGUCCUUGGUUUCGAUAGCUGUUUUUCUUGGGUCUUGUCUUGGAGCGUUGGGGUUUAACAGAGGUGGAUGGUUAUCUGUGCUUUAUCUUUUCUGGUGGGGGAGUUGGAAAUUGAAUGCUUAUCUUGGUGCUUUCAAGGAUGGUGGGUACGUGUUUUAUAGGCCUUGGAAUUGCCAGAGUCACGGACACUUGUCGUGUGGCGGGGGAAAAGAAUAGACUUGUCUUGGGUCAAAUUGGAAGUCAUGGCUAAGUGCUUUACCUCUUAGGAUUUGGCAAGGUACGUGUUAAAGAAGAUGUAAGGGUACGCAUCUAGAACGAGAAAUAUUACAUACGCGACCGAUCAUGUGUUUUUAAGAGGGGUUUAUAUUAUUAUUAUCAUUAUUUAAUCUGUUCAUUAGAUCCUAUGUUCCCAUUUAGCUGUCAGAUAAUAUCAUGAUUCAAUUUUCACGUGCUAGGUUAAGUCCAAUCUUUUAGUUUUGUAAGAGGUGAACCAUGCACGUCGGGACGAGGUGAUUGUCCGAAGUUCAACAAUGUCUCCUUCGAAGCUCAGAUUUAAGCGAGUGAAUUGCAAAUUAGAUUUCAUGAUCUUUGAAUGUGGGGGAAAUUACCCAAAAAGUACUAAAUUUAUUGUAAUUGUGCCAAUUUAAUUAUAAUUUUUUUUUAUCAAUUUAGUGCUAAACAUUUUAUAAUUGUGUUAAUUCAAUCAAUCCAUCCAAUUUUGGUAGACCGGCGCUAAUGUGGAUAUUGACUGGUGUUGGCCAAUCAUGGCAAUUAUGUUUUUCUUUCCCUUUUCCCUUUUUUUUCCUCUUCUUCCUCAUUUGGUUUCUUUUCCUUGCAAUGGUUGGUGAGGCUCCAAUGAGGCUCAUCGGCCACUAGGCAAGGGCCGUGAAGCCCUCGCCAACCUCUAGUGAGGGUUGUAGUCGUUGUUAGGCUUGAGGGCAACGAGCAAGGCCAACCUCGCCUUGGCCUUACUAGCUGCAGGUGAAGGUGGACUUGCCCUAGGCUGGCGAGGCCAUGGCAGUCUUUGCCCACUUGCAACAAGGCCAUGGUGAGGAGGAUGAGGGUUGCGACCCUCGUUGGCAACCAGCAAGGGCUUUGUGGCCCUACCCCACUAGCCGGCAAGUGGGGAAAAGAAGCCAAAGGAGGAAUAAGAGAAAAAAAGAGAAGGAAAAGGAAAAAAAGAAAAAGAAAAAGAAAAAGAAAAAGAUUAAUAAAAAAUUUGAUAAAAAAUAUAAAUUUAUUAAAAAAAUUGCCAAGUCAACAUUGACCAACCAAAAUUGGCCAAACAGAUUGAAUUGACAUACUUGCAAAAGUUAUAAGACUCAACUGGCAAAAAAAAUGUUUAGAAUUGAAUUGGUACAAUUAUAAUAGGUUUAUGACUUUUUUUGGUAAUUCUCCUGAAUGUAACUUAUACUUAUGUCUUCUUCUUUUUCUCGUUCUAAUCCUGGGAUUUUUUUAUUAUUAUUAUUUUGGCCUCAUAUCAAAACUGGGCGAAUGGAAUGGUCCAACGUAAAAAAAACGGGGUCAAGUAAGAGUCCAAAACGCGGGGCUCAUUUUUGUUUUGUUUUGUUCUUUUUUUUUUGGGGACCAAGCGGGGCUCAUUUGAAGGGUCGUGAGAUUAGUGGGGCAUGCUUUCGUCUCGUCGUCCAAUGAAGGACGAAUCCGAAAAGUCUUUGGUGUGGGGUUGACGACAGUCGUCCUCUUUUUCGAUCUGGGUCUUUUUGAACAAGCCCUGCUUUGAUUUUGUGGACUGCAAUGGGCGUGGCGUUUAAGGGUAAGCUUGAAAUGAUUCGAAGGUUGAAGAAGGGAUUUUGCAAGGUGUCGCGAGGUCAAAUUUGCAUGUAGAAGAUACAAGGUUGGAGCCAUUUGAUUUGAGAUGGAUAUAAGCGGCCCCACAAAGUUCAAUUCAAGACCCAACGGCUACUAGGAGAGCUAUGGAAGGAAAAAGAAAUUUUUUUGGGUCUGUAAGAAAAAAGAAAUUGUAAAUGCAAGAGUAUAGAAAGAAAAACCUUGCACGAGCCAUGUUUAUAUAACUCUUGUUAAAUUCGUAAACAUCCUACGCUUUCGUUUUAAGAGAUACGUUUAUAACACCAUACCACAUUCAUUUGACCCAAAUCAGAAUAUAACAAUUUUCAAUAUCGAAAUGAGUUAUAUAUUACUUAAAUGUAACUAAAUCAUAGCAAAAUUACCCAUUUCGUUUAAAAUACCAAAGCAUAUAUCAAUCUUGUCCAUUAAUUAACCUCAUCAAAUCAUACGUCAAUGAUACAAUCUAUUGACCAAUCUCAAGUUAUAUGUCGAUGAUCCAUUCUAUCUAAUAAACUAGUGCUCAAGUAUCUAACCAUGAUCACGCGUAAUGCCCUAUGACAGAGUAAUCAAGAUUCUCCACCUAUAUUGUGGGUGGUUGGCCCAGAAGAAUAUCCAUAAACUAGUAUGCAUAUCACAAGUUACUUAAUUGGUUUACAACAAUAUUGAGUACCAAAUUCACAUCCUCUAAUACUUGGAAUCAAAGUUCAGAAUCAAUAGCACCAAUUGAUUCCACAAAAUAAAACACAUAAUUCUCCCGAACUUCAUUCAUCAAAUAUAAUACAUUUCACAAACAAUUUUAGAAUUCUUUAUUAACCGAAUUCACAAAUCGAUAACCUUUUGUAACACCUUUAAUUAGAGAUUCCUCAAAUCAUUUUAAAACUCAUUUCAUAAACGCGUUUGUAAAGCAAUAAAUAUAUGUAAACCUUCACAACAUAUUUCAUAAACCAUUCUCAAAUGGCUAAAGAGUAGUAGAUGCCCGAUUUAGAUUUAUACAACAACAUAUUCUUUCCUAGCUUACACUGUUUGAAUCUCUACACCUUUCAAGACGUAAGUUCACAAAUUUAUAGAAGAGAUAGUAUUACUUACCUAGGAUAGCUGAAAACCAACUUUUGAAGGUUACUCGAGCCUUUCAAUGAAGCCCUGCCAGUUGCAGCUUUGCUUUACCUCUCUCGAACUUGCUAUGAUCCUUGCACCGAUGGUGAAGCAGUCAUAAUUUUAACAAGCUAGUCAUGCCCCUGCUGCUCUACUGUUCGACCUUGCACCGUUGACAAAGCUACUAUUGUCAUCGACACUAUCAGCCCUGCACCGCAAGGCGAUGACGCGAUCAACCCCUUCUAGUCAAAAGCCACCGCAAGUACCUAGGGCAUCAAGGAGUUCCUAGCCUGUGACUGUCCUCGGCCCGCGACACCUCUUGCAACGAUCACUGAGACUCGCUGCAUCAUCCUCAGCCGAUCGUGAAUUCGCAUCAAUUAGGAGCCUUGCACCAUUAUGGUCGAGUCCUCACCGUGCUAAGCUUCACCAUUUCGCCCCUUGCACUUAUGGAGUCCUCACUGAGCCCAGCACCCUCGGCUAUCUCACCACAACUCAGAAGUUCUCUGUUUUGCAGGCUUUUCCAGAGUUCCUUGCAACACCAAGCUGACCAGCGAGCAGCUUCACCGCCACCAAGUUUAGCGGAGACCAAGAGCCCCUCAUCAUCGCCGGUCACCAAGAUCCUCUGCCGUCAAUCCUGUUUCGGAAACAAAUCUUCAAACUACGUAGUUAUCUGGUCCAAAUUCGAAUUAUCUUGGCGAUUAUUGCGAUCUAAUUUGAAUAUUUUGAGAUUUUAGGCAUAUCAAAAUGAAGAAAAUUUCCUAAUUCGAAACGUGCAAAUAAUCAGUAAUUCAAUCUUUAAGUAUUAAGAUUGGGUUAUGGAUUGCACAGAAAAUCGGCAACUUGAUCUUUAGGCACUACAAUCAGGGUGUCGGUUUAUUUGUUUCCAAGCUUAACUUGAAUGUAUAUCUUCUUUACAAUUUUGAGCUUAUCUUGUUGUUUGAUUUCCUUAUUUGAAAAAAACAAAAACAAAAACAAAAACAAAAAUGUAGCCUUGCAUGAUAGAUUUGAUUUAUUUUUUAGAUAGGAUUGCGUGUUUAGAUGAUACUUAAAUAGUUAGGAUAAGAUUCCAAGUAUGAAUAGGAUUUAACUUAGAUUAUUUCCUAAUUCAAGUCCGAUAAUCUUUUACUUUAGGUAUUUUAUUGUAGGGAUAAUUAUAUAAACAUUUCUUGAAGUUUGGCCCAAUGUGCAAUUUGAUCCUUCAACUUUUAGUUUGUUCAAUGUGAUCUCUAAACUUCAGCUUAAUGUGUAAUGUGAUCCUUGAACUUUAAUUUGUUUAAUGUAAUUCAUGAACUUUUGAUACAUAUUCAAUAUAGUCCCUAAACUGCGUGAAAAUGUUCAAUGUAGUCAUUCCAUUAAUUCAAGACUAGGGAUUACAUUAAACAUUUUCAUAGAGUUUAGGGACUAUAUUGAACAUGUACCAAAAGUUUAGGGAUUACAUUGAACAAAUUAAAAAUUUGAAACUAUAUUGCACAUUGGGCUAAAUUUUAGGGAUUACAUUGAACAAAUUAAAAGUUCAUUGAACAAAUUAAAAGUUUAUGGACCGAAUUGCACAUUGAAUCAAAUUUUAUGGACUGAUUUUGUUAUUUUCCUAUUAUUUUAUUAAUUAUUUAUUAGGAAUUUUAAUGAACAAUCAUAAAAAAAUAACAUGUGCAUAUCGUAUGGAUUUAAUUGCAUCAUCCACGCAUCACUACUUGUCAUGUCAUCAACGCCAUAUCAUAUUGCUAUGCCAUAACAUGCCAUACCAUGUCACAUGCCAUGUCAUAUAUCAUGCCAUUAUUUAUGUCGUGUCAUCAUGAUUGUUAUGUCACUGCCAUGUCACCAUCCAUGCCAUGUCAUCAGUGUCAUGUCAUCUAGUGAUUGCAUGCCACGGUCAUUAUAGACUGCUUGUCAUAUUAGAAUAACUUAAUUUUAUUUGCCCAUCAUUAGAAUUAGGUCAUGACACAUGUCAUUAGAAUAAUAAAUUAGGCAUGUUUAACUUAGAAUAGAAUUGCAUUUAGCUAGUUUUCAUAAAUGAAAAAAAAUAAACAAAAAGAGAGAGUAGCUGAAUGGUUAAGAGGAUCAUGGUUGGGCAAGGUGUAGUAUUUUAGUUGCUUUGCUUAUACUUAGAAAAUUAAUUAUCUUGAUGCAUUUGAAUUUCCACUUUUUUAUAGCAAUUUAUUUAUUUAAUGCUUUGAUUAUUGAGUGUUAUUUUGAAUGGUUGCGCAUACACAUGAUCAUCUAUCAUAUAUUAGUGGCUAUGUUUAAAAUCAAUCUAAGAUUGCUUGAACAAAUAUUUUCGAAAAUAAAGAGAAAAUGUACCGGAUUGGCGUUUGUUUGAUCUAGUAUAAUCAAGUCCCAAAAUCCAUUAAAUCUCUCGCUUGUAGAAGUAAAGUAUUUUCUCACACUUGGAUUUUAGAUUGACCCACCAAUAAAUAAUUUGUGGCGACUCUUAAAUAGAUUAAAUUGCAUGUUGAAAUUGAACAUAAGAUGUGAAAGGGAAGGUCAUGACAACUACUACAAGAAUCAUUAUUGAAAUAAAAAAUAAAGAAAAGUAUUGGCCCAAUAUUGAAUUUAAAAAAAAAUAGAGUUAAGACCAUGAAAAAUUCUAAACUGAUAUACAUAUGACAAAUUUACUCUAAACUAAUUUUUUGACUAUUAGAAAUACUAAAUUGGUACAAAUGUGACAAAUUUACCUAAAACCAAUUUUUUGAUCGUAAAAAACCUUAGACUAGUACAUUUAUGACAAAUGUAUCUUUCAUUAAAUUGAAUUAAUAUCACAAAAAAUACAAAAUUGGUACACUUAUGACAAAUGGAGGGUAAAACUCUAAAUUGGUAUACCUGUGACAAAUUUAACAUAAACUAAUUUUUAGAUUGCCAAAAAUUUCAAACUGAUAUAUUUGUAACAAAUAUACCAUUCGUUAACUUAGAUUAAUAUCACGAAAAAUCAUAAAACUGAUACACUUGUAACAAACAAAUGGUAAAACCCUAAAUUGAUACAAUCAUCAAUUGCCACGUCAUCUAACUCAAUAAUUUGAUAAUAAAAUUUUAAAAGAAACUAAUGAAGGGUAAAUUUAUCAUAGUUACAUUGAAGUGACACUUAGGCGACUUUUAUUAUUUAUAAAUAAGCAAUGUCAAAUUUCCGGCACCCUUUACUAAAGUUGGCACUUAAAUAUCCCAUUAUUCAAAGAAAGUGACACUUAAAUAUACCAUUCGAAACUUUUGAUUCUUAAGUGGCUUCCAUGUCAAGCUUUAGCAUUUGCGCUGUUUUUUUGCCGCCAAAAAACUAUUUUCGGCCAAAAGUCAACAAAUUAAUCCUCGGCACACGAUAAUUUGUCUGAAAACAACCCUUUUUCUUUAUUUCGUAUCAUAGUUAAAAGGUAUUGUACAAAAUAGUGAUUUAUAGCCGGUCUAUAGGUCUGUCCCUUCCCCAUAGUUCACGUGAGAAUGUCCUAGCAUGCACGCAAAAAUCAAUCCCCCGGUGAAAUCUGCUGAGGUCCCACCGUCAUCUGCGUCUGCGUCGUUUCUCUACCAUCCCUCCUCCCAAAUCAAAGAUCAACGGCAGAUCUUACUUCUUAUGCAGAUUUCUCUCUUCGGCUGACCUAAUCUGAUCCAUCUUCGCAAGAUUCUUGCACGUCGCAUGCAGCAACAUCAGACCAAGAAAAGCAAGAACAGAAUAAGAAAAGGAAAAGAAAACAUGGGAUUUCUCGAAUUGCAACAAGGUUUUCAGACAGAAACAGCCCACCAGAUCAGACUG
rnacentral:lncRNA from 1 species